GCCUAUGGCCAUACCAGUCUGAAAGUGUCAGAUUUCUGAAGUCAUGCAGACUUGGGCCUGAUUAGUACUUGUAUGGGAGACCAACUAGGAACCUCAGGUGCCGUAAGCU